rnacentral:rRNA from 1 species
CCUACGGGAGGCAGCAGUGGGGAAUAUUGCACAAUGGGGGAAACCCUGAUGCAGCGACGCCGCGUGAGUGAAGAAGUAAUUCGUUACGUAAAGCUCUAUCAGCAGGGAAGAAAUACUGACCUUACGGUCAGCAGACGGUACCUGAGUAAGAAACCCCGGCUAACUACGUGCCAGCAGCCGCGGUAAUACGUAGGGGACAAGCGUUAUCCGGAUUUACUGGGUGGAAAGGGAGCGUAGACGGUGCGCCAAGUCUGGAGUGAAAUGCCGAAGCUUAACUGCGGAACUGCUGUGGAAACUGGCGAACUAGAGUGUGGGAGGGGUAGGCGGAAUUCCUGGUGUAGCGGUGAAAUGCGUAGAUAUUAGGAGGAACACCGGUGGCGAAGGCGGCUUACUGGACCGUAACUGACGUUGAGGCUCGAAAGCGUGGGGAGCAAACAGGAUUAGAUACCCUGGUAGUC